rfam:Loxodonta africana unplaced genomic scaffold scaffold_96, whole genome shotgun sequence.
GUGUUGGUGGUUCAGUGGUAGAAUUCUCACCUUCCAUGUGGGAGACCCGGCUUUGAUUCCCAGCCAACACC